GCUUAACACAUGCAAGUCGAGGGGAAACGAUAGAGAAAGCUUGCUUUUUCUAGGCGUCGACCGGCGCACGGGUGAGUAACGCGUAUCCAACCUGCCCAUCACUUGGGGAUAACCUUGCGAAAGUAAGACUAAUACCCAAUGACGUCUCUAGAAGACAUCUGAAGGAGAUUAAAGAUUUAUCGGUGAUGGAUGGGGAUGCGUCUGAUUAGCUUGUUGGCGGGGUAACGGCCCACCAAGGCGACGAUCAGUAGGGGUUCUGAGAGGAAGGUCCCCCACAUUGGAACUGAGACACGGUCCAAACUCCUACGGGAGGCAGCAGUGAGGAAUAUUGGUCAAUGGGCGAGAGCCUGAACCAGCCAAGUAGCGUGCAGGAAGACGGCCCUAUGGGUUGUAAACUGCUUUUAUAAGGGAAUAAAGUGGGAGUCGUGACUCCUUUUGCAUGUACCUUAUGAAUAAGGACCGGCUAAUUCCGUGCCAGCAGCCGCGGUAAUACGGAAGGUCCGGGCGUUAUCCGGAUUUAUUGGGUUUAAAGGGAGCGUAGGCCGUCUGUUAAGCGUGUUGUGAAAUGUCGGGGCUCAACCUGGGCAUUGCAGCGCGAACUGGCAGACUUGAGUGCGCAGGAAGUAGGCGGAAUUCGUCGUGUAGCGGUGAAAUGCUUAGAUAUGACGAAGAACUCCGAUUGCGAAGGCAGCCUGCUGUAGCGUAACUGACGCUGAAGCUCGAAAGCGUGGGUAUCGAACAGGAUUAGAUACCCUGGUAGUCCACGCGGUAAACGAUGGAUGCCCGCUGUUGGUCUGAAUAGGUCAGCGGCCAAGUGAAAGCAUUAAGCAUCCCACCUGGGGAGUACGCCGGCAACGGUGAAACUCAAAG
rnacentral:rRNA from 1 species